AGGCCUAACACAUGCAAGUCGAGCGGUAACAGAAAGAAAGCUUGCUUUCUUUGCUGACGAGCGGCGGGCGGGUGAGUAAUGCCUGGGAAUAUGCCUUAGUGUGGGGGAUAACUAUUGGAAACGAUAGCUAAUACCGCAUAACGUCCUUGUUCAUUACGAGCGGGACCAAAGAGGGGGACCUUCGGGCCUCUCGCGCUAAGAUUAGCCCAGGUGGGAUUAGCUAGUUGGUGAGGUAAAGGCUCACCAAGGCAACGAUCCCUAGCUGGUCUGAGGGGGAUGAUCAGCCACACUGGAACUGAGACACGGUCCAGACUCCUACGGGAGGCAGCAGUGGGGAAUAUUGCACAAUGGGGGAAACCCUGAUGCAGCCAUGCCGCGUGUAUGAAGAAGGCCUUCGGGUUGUAAAGUACUUUCAGUCGUGAGGAAGGCAUUGUAGUUAAUAGCUGCAGUGCUUGACGUUAGCGACAGAAGAAGCACCGGCUAACUCCGUG
rnacentral:rRNA from 1 species